AUCUAUGGUCCAUGUCUGAUCUUGGAAGCUAAUCCCGAUUCUGAUCUUGGAAGCUAAGCAGGGUCGGGCCUGGUUAGUACUUGGAUGGGAGACAACCUAGGAAGAGCAGGUGCUGUAGGCA
ensembl:rRNA 5S_rRNA 5S ribosomal RNA